rnacentral:rRNA from 1 species
AUUGAACGCUGGCGGCAGGCCUAACACAUGCAAGUCGAACGAGUGGCGGACGGGUGAGUAAUGUCUGGGAAACUGCCUGAUGGAGGGGGAUAACUACUGGAAACGGUAGCUAAUACCGCCUACUUUCAGAUGUGCCCAGAUGGGAUUAGCUUGUGGGUGGGGUAACGGCUCACCAAGGCGACGAUCCCUAGCUGGUCUGAGAGGAUGACCAGCCACACUGGAACUGAGACACGGUCCAGACUCCUACGGGAGGCAGCAGUGGGGAAUAUUGCACAAUGGGGGCAAGCCUGAUGCAGCCAUGCCGCGUGUAUGAAGAAGGCCUUCGGGUUGUAAAGUACUUUCGGCGGGGAAGCGUUACCUGCAGAAUAAGCACCGGCUAACUCCGUGCCAGCAGCCGCGGUAAUAC